rnacentral:rRNA from 1 species
AUUGAACGCUGGCGGCAUGCCUUACACAUGCAAGUCGAACGAACCCUUCGGGGUUAGAGGCGGACGGGUGAGUAACACGUGGGAACGUGCCUUUCGGUUCGGAAUAACUCAGGGAAACUUGUGCUAAUACCGAACGUGCCCUUCGUGGGAAAGAUUUAUCGCCUUUAGAGCGACCCGCGUCUGAUUAGCUAGUUGGUGAGGUAAUGGCUCACCAAGGCUACGAUCAGUCGCUGGUCUGAGAGGAUGACCAGCCGCAUUGGGACUGAGACACGGCCCAAACUCCUACGGGAGGCAGCAGUGGGGAAUCUUGCGCAAUGGGCGAAAGCCUGAAGCAGCCAUGCCGCGUGGAUGAUGAAGGUCUUAGGAUUGUAAAAUCCUUUCACCGGUGAAGAUAAUGACUGUAGCCGGAGAAGAAGCCCCGGCUAACUUCGUGCCAGCCGCCGCAGUAACAC